rnacentral:rRNA from 1 species
AGAGCGAACGCUGGCGGCAGGCCUAACACAUGCAAGUCGAACGGACCCUUCGGGGUUAGUGGCGGACGGGUGAGUAACACGUGGGAACGUGCCUUUAGGUUCGGAAUAGCUCCUGGAAACGGGUGGUAAUGCCGAAUGUGCCCUUCGGGGGAAAGAUUUAUCGCCUUUAGAGCGGCCCGCGUCUGAUUAGCUUGUUGGUGAGGUAAUGGCUCACCAAGGCUACGAUCAGUAGCUGGUCUGAGAGGAUGACCAGCCACAUUGGGACUGAGACACGGCCCAAACUCCUACGGGAGGCAGCAGUGGGGAAUCUUGCGCAAUGGGCGAAAGCCUGACGCAGCCAUGCCGCGUGUAUGAUGAAGGUCUUAGGAUUGUAAAAUCUUUCACCGGUGAAGAUAAUGACUGUAGCCGGAGAAGAAGCCCCGGCUAACUUCGUGCCAGCAGCCGC